CUACACCCUGCCACGCGUCGAAGCAAGCGAUAUUCACGAUGUAGAAUUUCCGGACCCACUUCUGGGCGCCCGGAACAUAGGAUCCGAAUUGGCUUCCAGUUUCAGCUAAAUUCAACACUCAGUUCUGGGCGACCUAAACUAUGUUCUGAGCGCCCGAAUCUGGCAAAACUCCAGUUUUGCCUAUUUGAGUGCGCCGAGUCCAAUUCUGCAUCCAAUUCGUGCAGAAUUUACUCCGACUCAGUCCGACACUCUCCAGAGAUGUCGACCAGUCACUAAUACUGAAGCCAAUCCUAUCCAAAACUCAGGAACACUACAUUAAAUCUAACAAAUUGAAAUGUUGAAUAAUGAAAUCAAAAUUUUUGAAAUGUUGGAUGGUCGAAUCAAAAUAGACUAUAGUUCGGCUAAGUUCUAUAUAUGCAUUUCUUUUUAAAAGAUUGGAUAACACUGCUAGUAUGUAUGGAAAAUAUUAGGUAUACAUUAAAAAAAAAAAAAAAUGUACAUUUUACACCCUCCAUCAUAGUUUCAGAAACUUAGUAUUUAAAAAAGAAUAAAAUUUGAUCUUUCAAAAGAAAGAUGUAAGAUGUAUAAAUCACUUUGAACUAAGCCCCUCGGAUUUCGUGUUUUUCUUUUUUUGUGGGACAAAGCCAUGUCAUAUUACAACAUAAUUUUGAGAUUACGAAUUUCCUUUUAUAAUUUUAAUUAUAUUUUUUUUUUAAAUUUAUAAAUUUAUUCGUGUGGGUUGACUGGUUGAGUACCGAUAUAUUGUUAACUUUUUACCGUUAUAAAUGUUAUGCCAUUAUAAAUAAUAUUUUUUCUAAAAUAUUUUUUUAUCGAAUAUAAUUUAGAAAGGAAACCAUUGAACCUUAUCUCUUUUGCAAAUAAGGGGACGUUUGGUUUGAUGAAUCUCUAGAUCCAAUGUAACUCCAGUGUAGUGGUGUUUGAGUUACCCUGAAGUGUAGUUAUUUUUUUGUUGUUUGUUUUGAUGUAACUCAAACUUCUGAAAGUUAAGUUCACCAACUUCUUUUGUUUGUUUUGAUGCAACUUGAUGUUAGUGUAACUAAUUUUUAGAGUUCCAUUGUUUGUUUUGACGUAAGUAGAUAGAUCCCACUACCUUCUCAAAUAUAGUGGUGAGCUUACCCCACAAAAUCCAAACCUAUUGAAUAAUUAAAUCUCCCAUUACUGUUUUUAUUUUUUAUUUUUUUACUACCAUUAUUUAUUGUUUCAUUACUUUAAAUUUAAUUUAAUCACUUUAUUCAAGAUAAUUUUUUUUUGGUGAAAUUUUGAUGAUUUUAGCAUUUAGUAACAAAAUUUUGAGCAGUUUAAACAACAUGUGAUCUAAAGGAUAUAUAUUGGAUGUUAAACAAAACAAAAUUGUAUUUAUAUUUGUUUAACAAAAUAAAACAAAAUUACAUAUCUUAGAUUACAUAUAGUUGGAUAAGAACAAUAUCAAACAAAAUAGAAACAACUCCAAACAUAUGAAACAUCCAAUUUUUAACAAUCAUCAUUCAUUAGAAGUUAAAGCAUAUUAAUAGCAGUAGUCAAGUACAUACUUUAGUUUACUUUAAAGCUAACAUAUCUAUAUAAGGCUUAUCUUUUUUUCUACAGCAAAAUGUCAUCAUACUAGUAAUACUGUGUCCACCAAAAUAUAGCCAAAAAGUUAUCUAUCUAUCAAAAUAUGUAAGAAAGUUAGUUUAAACAACUAAAGAUAAUCUGUAAAUCUUGAAAAAUUAUCUGCCACAAAACGAUCAAGCCAUGAACGACGCGACUCAGUUGGCUUUGACAUAAAUAACCUUCCUUGCUUUUCAUCGUCAUAAAGAAAAGAGUAAGCUGCAUCAUAAACCUCACUUGAGUAAUCUCCAGCUUCGACAAGCUUAGGCCACAAAUUGUCACUCCAGUGGGCAGUAGCACUUGUUUUGAUAGCUACAGCAACCUCUUUUACAGUUGCUAUAAGAUCGUCGAAAUGCUCAUCAUUGGCCUCACGAGGCCUUUUUCCACGACUUUUCCCCGAAGAAGGUAUAGCAUCGUUAUUAUUUGUUGGGGUAAAAGCAUCCCCAUCUUGCCCCAAGCCUCUCCCUUCCAUACCAUCGUCAUCUGGUGUCAUUUCAUUCCUUGCUUCACUGUUAACUCCAUCAGCAGGAUCAUUAAUAUAGUUGUCAUAAAUAGUUGAGCAGAAUUGUCCUGUGGCUUGAUCAUCACCACAAAUGAUCUUUAAAGCAUCAUAAUGUUUAAUUGGUUUGUUCAGCACAUCGGCUGCUUUUGGAUGCGCCUACAUUAUAAAUGGAGAGAAAUUUACAUAUAGAUAAUGAAUUCUAAACAAAUAAUAUUUAAUAAUAGUUUUAAAACAUGUUACCUCCACAUAGGUAGCAUAUGUUGGACCCUCCAAUAUGAUCAUCUUGAGCUCCUCAUUCCACCCAGCUCCACUAAUCUCUUUGCACUUCUUAAUUUCUGCAUAUUUGGCUCGGAGGGUUCUCAUAUGGUUUUCUACAUUCUCAGCAUCAAAAGUAGUGUUGAAUUUUGCAUUAACUGUUGAAGCCGCAGCGACAUAAGCCGUUUUCUUGAAACCUUUGUCUACUUUCAAGCCUGACUUGGCUUGUUCCACUAGAAAUGGAAUAAGAAAGUCAUCUAUGACGGUACUUCAUCUUUUAUUUGGUGUACCUUUUUUACUUAAACUUGUGCUCUUUCUUUUGGAACUUUCUUGCUUUUUAGAAGCUUCCUUGUGGGGUGCUGAUGGAGGAACCAUGGACAUCUCUACCUCUUGUGUAUUAAUAGAUUGUGACAUCUAAAUACGUAGAACACAGAUUGGACACAUACAAUAAAAUAGAAGUCAAAUAUAUAUAUAAAGCAAACUUGUCUUUAUUUAAUACAAAAUAAGUUACAUUCACAUAUAGAAACAAAAUAGAUUCUACAUUUGCAUUUAGCACAAACUUGUCCUUCUGUUGCAUAAAUCCAGUUGAUAAGGCUAGGAAAAAAAUACAGAAAACAUAAGCAAAAAAAAAAAAAGAGUAUAAAACAAAACAAAACAUUUCCUAGAUUGAAUGACGAGUGCGCCGACUAUAGUCCUGCCACAUGUCCUCUGCAAUGUUAUCACGCAGCUCUACCCAUUGUCGACUCUCCUCACGAUGCUCUCUUUGUGAUCUUGUUUGUGAAUAGUAAUUAACAUCAUCCUCACACAUGUUACUUUCGUCAUUGAGAAAUGGGUCAUGAGGGUCUACAGUGAGGAUGUAAUUGUGUAAUACACAACAACUCAAAACUAUUUCUACCUGUGUACGAAAAGGAAAGAAAGGUUUCGAGGUCAAGAUUUUAAAUCGAUUUUUGAGGAUUCCAAAUGAUCUCUCAACCUUGGAUCUUAAUAAUGCAUGACGUAGAUUGAACAACUCCUCCUUAUUUUGUGGAGUACGACCUUCAUGCUCCUUUAAAUGAUAUCGAACUGAACGAUAUGGGGCUAAAAAUCCAUGCAUAGUUGUCUAUCCAGCAUCAACCAAAUAAUAUUUUCCUGCGAUUAGUCAAUAUAUAGUUUGACAUAUCUAUAUAUUUAGAUCAAUAAGAAAGAAAAAAAAAAUAGCUAAAUUAAUUAGUCUUUUAUUUCAUAAUAUAUAGACUAUAUAUGUAUCACCUUCUAUAACCCGUAAUCCAGAUGGGGGAGGUAACGAAAGUGCAUGUUUAAGUACUGUGAAAUCAUUUGCAGAUCCCUCCCAACCAGCUGAAACAUAAGUGAAUCGACAAUCCGGUUUGACAGCCGCCAUGACAUUUUGUGUUAAACCUUUCCUGCCACGAAAUCGAGCAGCUAUUCUAACUGGUACCUUAGCUUCAAUAUGCGUGCCAUCCAAUAGACCAAUACAAUCCUAAUAAUAUUAAGACCAUUAAAUAAUAUACCUCAAUUAUCAAUUACACAAUUAGUAUUAAAAAUUCAACAUUUUUAUGAUUACCUUGAAAUAAGGAAAAUAUAGUGGGCUCGAUGCUAUCUCAGGAUGGAUUUCGGGGCCUGCUUGUUGGACAAAUUGAUUCUUAAUGGCACAUAUAGCUCUUAGGACAGUACUAAAAUAACGACUAAUGGUCUCUCCUGAUCGAAUAAAUUCUAUCUUUACGAUUCUGUUUUUAGUAUGAUGUCCCACUGUAUGCAAAAACAUCGCAAGUUGUUCCUCAACUGUGACAUAAAGAGUAUCCUUUAAUAAGUUACGAUCUCUCAUUAUAUCAGCAAGGCUAAAGAAGGUCCAAGUAUCCAUACGUACAUAAUCCACACAAUUCAUUGUGCCACCAUAUAAAAUUCUAUGAAUGUGUGCCUUUCUAUGCAAAUCUCUAAUCCUAGAUGGCUCUCGGGGUAAUGACUUUUUUUUCAUAUAUUUUCUCAUGAAAAGUAUAACACAUAAUACAACCAUAGAGAAUGCUGCAAGUUCAGCGCGUUUUCGCCGUUUAUAUUGAUUCGCGGUAUUCAUCUGAAAGAAAUAUCAAGCUAUUACAUUAGUACAUGAAAAUUUAUCCAAAAAUUUGAAGUAAUACAAAUGAAGUAACUCAUAAAUUGUCUUUACUACAAAUUCCCAUGAUGAUUCAAUUUCGAUAAUCAUAUUUUUCAUAGAAAUGAUGCAUCGGCCUAUAAGAAAAGCAUGAUUUUCAAAAAGAAUAUUAAGCUUCUGGCAUUAGAUCAAUAUUAUUAUCUUAGUAGGUCUAGUAUAGCAAAGUUAAUCAAGUACAUAAUGUUGGCAACUUAAGUAAAAGAUCAAUAUAUAUACUAGCCAUGAACUCUUUGAUAAUUAAGUAAAUGAUCAAAAAGGUUCUCAGAAUGAGCUUAGUGCCUAUUGUAUAGUUUAUUAUUGUCAAGCAUAUGUACAAACUAAUAAAUUUUUUAUGUUAAUUUCCUACUUUGUAAUUUAAUUAAAAAUUACAAUCUUUUUUCUACCCAACUUGCUUCAAAAAAUUUAUUUCUCUUCUUAGUUUAUCAUUAAUAAUUGGACACAUAAAAAAUGUGAGCAGAGCAAAUAUGCAUUAAAAAAAUAUUAAAAAUACAUAUAAAAAAUUUUAUUACAGCACAAGUGAUAAAGAAUGAAAUAAUUUAUUAUAACUCUAAAAAAAAUCUUGGGCAUAAUACUGAAAUUAAACCCACCAUCCCAUUUGACGUAUGGUCGUGCGGCGGUUUGCCUCUCCUUAAACAACCACUACCAGGCCACCACUACUUUCCAUUGGUAGUGGGAUUAAGCAAAAUGAGGAAAAUAGAGUUGCAAAUAGCAUAUUGCAACAAAGGAGAAAGCAACGAUGUAGAAGAAGAAGAUACAGAGGAAAAAGAGGAGAGGGAUGAGAGGGAAAGAGAGUAGAUGGAGAUAACUCACAUUAUCGAAAUAAUGGGGAAGAUUGAGAGCGUCUGCGUUGUGAGGAGAAGGGGAUUUUCUGAGUCUGUGUUGUGAGAAGGGGAUUUUCUGAAUGUUUGUUUUGGAGGUAACCCUAACUUGUUAGGGAGGAAGUAGAGUUCAGUUUUGAUAUUUAAUGGAUUUUUUUUAGAGAGAGUGGGUGCAGUGUAAGUUGAGUUCGGAGGUUUAAAAGGGGAAGUCAAAAGUAGGUGAACUGAGGAUUCUUUGUAACUUGAGUUACAUAAAUUUUUUUACUUACAUCAAAACAAACAGCAAAACUCAUCGAACUCGAGUUCCAACCCUCCACUUACUCCAAACCAAACAGCCCCUAAGCUCUUAAGUCCUUGUUUGCUAUCCUGUUGGUUUUUUAUUUUUUUAAAAAUGAAGUUUUGUAUCUAAAAAAGUAAGAGGGGAUAGUAAAUUACUUGCAAUCUUUCCUCCAAGAUGUUUAUCUAGUGGAAAAAAACUUAAAAAUAAUUUUUUUUGCGUUCAAAUAUUUUUAAAUAAGUUAUUAUCUAUUACUUAGUCAAAUAUAUUGCACGCUAACUAGCUAUUAUAAGAAAAGAAGUCUUUCCUCCAACCAAAAAAUAAUAUAAAAUUAGUGUUUAAAAAAAAAUGAUAAUGAUACCAAACAAGAUCUAAGCUUUCAAUUUUUAUAGUAGACCUUCGAAAACUUGAGUAGAACUUGUGUGCUAUUAGGACUACAGAGGCUUCCAUACUCCUAAGUCGUUUUCGAUGAGAGGACUUUCGAAUCGACGAUCGGCUCCGUUAGAUUUAAUCUAGCGUAUUUGUGAGGAUUGAGAUUUUUUCCUAUAUAUGUUUGUCAUUUUUUUAAAUAUUAUUGUGUGUAUUUUAAUUUUAGACUUGUCUAUCCAAUUUCAGCAAAAAAUAAUUUAAAAUAAAAUUUUUACGCGGUUAUUACUUUUAACUUAAAUUGAAUAGUAAUCUGCAUUUUCAGUUGUGACCGAAGAGAGAGAUGGGCAUCGGACGCGAAUCGGACUCCAUUUCGGGCAAUCCAAUAGCUCAUUUUGAUGGUCCGAUUGUCACGCCCCGGAUUGCUCGUUCCACAGGCGCGCCGACAAAUCCGCCGUAUACAAAGAAAUUUUUCCUGCAUACGAAGCGAUAGUUGUACCUGUAAAUCAUACAAUACUACAAACAGUAGUAUAGAGCUGCUAGAAGAACCAGUAAUAAAAACAAACUGAGUUCCAUAUACAUACGCCAAAUCCAAGAUACAACACUACUCGCACUGGCGAGUUAAAUAUAGGUAUGUACAUGAACUCCAACAAAACAACUACCUGCUGUAGGGUUACCUCUAGCUCGGCUCAUCGGGUAGGGCUCUAACUCGCGACGCCCUUGCCUCGAUCCUGAUCAGCAACAGUAGCAGGCGAAGACGAUGGCUCUGCAAAAACGAGGUAACAACUGUUACGGAGUUUAUGUUGGCAUAUUUCAUGAUAUUAGUCGGAGUCUUAAAUGUUUGAAGAAGAAGAAAUGAAGAUCGAAGACUCGGAGACUCAAAACAUAAAUGCACAAUGCUCGGUAAGUUUAAAUACCAUUGAUGAUGAUUUAUAAAUGUUUAAAUAUGUUUAGAGGACUGAGAUUGUGUUUUUGUUGAUCAAACUGGACUUUUCUAAAAAUCUCAGGGGUCAGGGACCGGUCCUUGAUCAGAGGGACCGGACCCAUCAAGCUUCUCUGCGUAGAAGUUUUGGGAGACCGGUCUCUGGUCUUGAAGACCGGUUCCCGUAAGUGGUUUAUCUUGUUGCGCAGGGAGGGACCGGUCUCUGAAUUGAGGACUGGUCCCCGUACGCAUGUUUCUCAGCUACGCAGCGAAGGACCGGUCUCCAACUUGGAGGACCGGUCUCCCAAAAACCGGUCUCCUCGAGAAGAUCGGUCCCUGAGGACGACGUCUGUUUUUAAAAUUGGGUUUUUGCAAUCCUAGUCUGUUUCUAAGUUUUCUAAACCUAUAAAUAAGAUGUAGGGGUGUUUCUAAAAGAGAACGAAGGAUAGAAUAUCUUUUUCAAACCCUAGAAACUUGUUGGGUGCAUUCUUUCUUCUCUCGAACAACAAGUUUCUAUUGGAUCAAUUCAUGUAACUCAAAAUUUCUCGUUCUUCAUGGAGAAUUGAUCCGGCUAUUGCUUAGAAACAUCUUCUACGGUUCUUUAGUGAUUGCCUAAGUAAUAAAUCAUCAUCAAUCUUGAUAUUCUUGCUCCAGAAGGAGUGGGCGUCGUGGAUUCGAGUGGGCGUCGUGGAUUCGGCGUGAUCAAGGCUUCGUGGAUUCGAAGUGUGGACGUUUCGUGGAUUCGGAACGUGGCGUUCGUGGAUUCGGACGUGGGGCGUGGACAACCCGUUGGUGUGCGCGAGAUUCGGAGAAGAUAAAAGAGAGGUUUGAGUCCGUGGAAUCGGUAAAUCACCUUGUAAUCUUUUAUUCUUAGUGGAUUGUUAUCGCGUGUUGGUCCCGUGGUUUUUUACUCCUAGUUGGAGUUUUCCACGUAAAUCUCGGUGUGAUUUUUAUUUUUCGCAUUUAUUUUUAUCGCAUUGAGAUUUGUGGUUUUUGGCUAUUACACCUAUUCACCCCCCUCUAGGUGUUAGAUACAAUCUAGAUAGAUCCUCGGGCUACCCCAAAACUUACAACAACAGGGCGUGAAAACUACUGUAAAACAAGUAGUCCUCAGUGGGUGUCGCCCUCAACAACAUCGGUCCACCCACUAAGUCUACAGAAGGGAGCAAAGGUAGUAAUAAAUGCUGGAAUGAAAUCUACAGCUACUAUUUAUUACACUAUUAUGCUUUAAGCUGACCUACUGUAGUAAUGUCAAUCCUGACCGAAUCUCUUUAGGGACUGUAAACAUACCCGUCCCAGGAACUGUGAACACACCCGUCCCGCCCAGUUGAGACUAUCCAGCUACCUCCACACUAUCCAGUCUGUGGAGAGCAAGUCUAACCAGCAUGAACGACACCAACGCGAAAGCACAACGCCCGUCUCCGGAGUGGCACUCGUGGAAGCUACCCAACCGAGUAUGCAGCGUAUCUCUGUCGAGCUCAAUCAAGCUCCAACUAGCCAAAGUCAUGUAAACAGGGUCAAAACAGGUCUACAAACCAAACCCACGUGCCCUCGGCACAAUCUGGAACCAAAACAAGAAUCUGGGUCCACCGCCAACCCGGACGGCACCCAACGAUCCGAAACAGCGUAGACUCUGCUGAAAAAUAAGCUCGGCACCCCAGCACGAGCGUAAAUGCCUUCUAAACUACCCCAGGUAUCCAUCGCACUGAUACUGCAACGAUACAGCCGAACCACGGCUCCUAGAGCUAAAUCUGGUAGUUCAAGCAUAUGACGGGUUAAAAUGCAGGUUUUCUCCUAAGUCAAUUUUCCAAGUCCAACAUGUAUAAAUCUCACUUAUUUAGUAUGCUUAAAUUCAGGUCACAACCACAGCUCAUCACUAAAUUUAAUCUAAUCACAUUGUAGAUCAAACAACAAACGUACAUGUUGACUAUACAUCUACUCAUUCACUUAGGAGUGAUCCGAUGAAAACCCACCUCUAGUGCAAUUCCCUGGCAGCAAGACGGUCACGAAUUGCUAGAAGUCUCAUCCGAGAACACCCACAACCAGCAACAAAGCUACUCGAAAGAUCUACACCCAAAAUCCGACAAAAACCAUCAAUUCACCAAAAAUUUCAGCACUUAAGCUUAAUUAUCUCAACUCCAAUGUCAAAACUCACCUAACGAUCUCCAAAUCAGGUGAGGGCAGUCCAAAAUCUAGCAAAUAUUGAUGGGUGAUGCGACUCAGGUCCGAAAUCCCAUUGCCUACAAAGAUAGCAUCAAGAAAAGCUCAAAAAUCUCAUUUUCAGCUCAAAGUCUACAGCAGUCCAGAAAAAUCUCAGUUCGAUCGAUCUAACCUCAACCAAAAUCUACAAUUCAGGGCUUCGUGGAUUCCUCAGGAAGUCUAGAAUGCAUCAAAGCAAGUUUCGCCAUGAUCCGACCUUCCUACGUCGCGCACGAGCCAAAACACUGAAGGUCGUCGCUGAAGAACUGCAGAAUCAGCACCUAACAAGCUUGGAGUUGCGGAUUUUGAAGCAAUUUAUGGCAAUUCGAGGGUAGAAGAUGAAAUCCAAUGGUUCACUGCGAAGAAGGAGUGAAAAGAGCUCACCAGGGUUACCCUCCAUCUAUUUAUAGGCUGCUGGAAAGAUAAAAUUAACCCCAAGAGAAGCAGCUGCAAUCUGGUGUCCCUGCAGAGACGGGCGUUUUUGGGCGCCCGGAACCCAUUUCUGGGCGCCCGAAACCUCCAGGCUGCACAAAUCAUCCUCCUCGGAUUCUCCGCUCGCGGUGUGCUGCGCCCGUAAAAGGCUACGGCGGAUCUCACCUACCACCCUGCUACGCUUCGAAGUAAACGAUAUUCACAAUGUAGAAUUUUCGGACCCACUUCUGGGCGCCCGGAACAUAGGAUCCGAAUUGGCUCCAGUUUCAGUUAAAUUUAACACUCAGUUCUGGGCGACCUAAACCAUGUUCUGGGCGCCCGAAUCUGGCAAAACUCCAGUUUUGCUUAUUUGAGUGCGCCGAGUCCAAUUCUGCAUCCAAUUCGUGCAGAAUUGACUCCGACUCAGUCCGACACUCUCCAGAAAUGUCGACCAGUCACUAAUACUGAAGCCAAUUCUAUCCAAAGCU
rnacentral:lncRNA from 1 species